rnacentral:rRNA from 1 species
UACGGGGGGGGGUAAGCGUUGUUCGGAAUUACUGGGCGUAAAGGGCGCGUAGGCGGCUUAACAAGUCACUUGUGAAAUCUCCGGGCUUAACUCGGAACGGCCAAGUGAAACUGUUAUGCUAGAGUGCAGAAGGGGCAAUCGGAAUUCUUGGUGUAGCGGUGAAAUGCGUAGAUAUCAAGAGGAACACCUGAGGUGAAGACGGGUUGCUGGGCCGACACUGACACUGAGAGACGAAAGCUAGGGGAGCGAAUGGG